AGCGGAGCAUGUGGUUUAAUUCGAAGCAACGCGAAGAACCUUACCAGGGCUUGACAUGCCGCUGACCGGUGCAGAGAUGCAUCUUUAUCCUUCGGGGUACAGCGGACACAGGUGGUGCAUGGUUAUCGUCAGCUCGUGUCGUGAGAUGUUGGGUUAAGUCCCGCAACGAGCGCAACCCUCGCCUCUAGUUGCCAGCAUUCGGUUGGGCACUCUAGAGGGACUGCCGGCGACAAGUCGGAGGAAGUGGGGAUGACGUCAAAUCAUCAUGCCCCUUAUGACCUGGGCUACACACGUGCUACAAUGGGCGGUACAAAGGGCUGCGAACCCGCGAGGGGGAGCGAAUCCCAAAAAGCCGCUCUCAGUUCGGAUUGCAGGCUGCAACUCGCCUGCAUGAAGCCGGAAUCGCUAGUAAUCGCGGAUCAGCAUGCCGCGGUGAAUACGUUCCCGGGCCUU
rnacentral:rRNA from 1 species